UAACGCGUGAGAACCUACCUUCAGAAUGGGGACAACAGUUGGAAACGACUGCUAAUACCCAAUGUGCCGAAAGGUGAAAGAUUUAUCGUCUGAAGAUGGGCUCGCGUCUGAUUAGCUAGAUGGUGGGGUAAGAGCCUACCAUGGCAACGAUCAGUAGCUGGUCUGAGAGGAUGAGCAGCCACACUGGGACUGAGACACGGCCCAGACUCCUACGGGAGGCAGCAGUGGGGAAUUUUCCGCAAUGGGCGAAAGCCUGACGGAGCAAUACCGCGUGAGGGAGGAAGGUCCUUGGAUUGUAAACCUCUUUUAUCAGGGAAGAAGUUCUGACGGUACCUGAUGAAUAAGCAUCGGCUAACUCCGUGCCAGCAGCCGCGGUAAUACGGAGGAUGCAAGCGUUAUCCGGAAUUAUUGGGCGUAAAGCGUCCGUAGGUGGUUAUGCAAGUCUGCCGUUAAAGAAUGGAGCUUAACUCCAUAGGAGCGGUGGAAACUGCAAGACUAGAGUACAGUAGGGGUAGCAGGAAUUCCCAGUGUAGCGGUGAAAUGCGUAGAUAUUGGGAAGAACAUCGGUGGCGAAAGCGUGCUACCUGGGCUGAAACUGACA
rnacentral:rRNA from 1 species